UAACUAUAUAAGUGCAUGUCUUGAAAACAUGAAAUAGCUCUUUUCGGCUAAUAGUUUCUCAAAAAGGUUGU
rnacentral:tRNA from 1 species